AUACGGAGGGUGCAAGCGUUGUUCGGAAUCACUGGGCGUAAAGGGCGCGCAGGCGGUUUGGUAAGUCAGAUGUGAAAGCCCAUGGCUCAACCAUGGAAGUGCAUUUGAAACUGUCAGACUUGAGUACUAGAGGGGAAAGUGGAACUCCCGGUGUAGAGGUGAAAUUCGUAGAUAUCGGGAGGAAUACCGGUGGCGAAGGCGACUUUCUGGCUAGAUACUGACGCUGAGGCGCGAAAGCGUGGGGAGCAAACAGGAUUAGAUACCCCGGUAGUCC
rnacentral:rRNA from 1 species